UUUCGUACGAACGUGCCAUUCUUGUUUACGUACGUAUGCGCAUCCGUAUUCUUUUUGCUCUCGUUCGCAAACGUCAGUCAAAAGUUGCGAAUCGCUGUACGAAUCGCCGGCGCCGGUAGUUUUUUCUCGUUUUUCUGCUGUUUGGUGUUAGUUUUUUGACAAAAUUGAAUAAACCGAAAAAUUUGUGUUGAUUCGUGAAGUGUGAGGAACAUUCUGAAGAACAUUUGUGAAAAUCUAUUUUCAAAAAUCUCCAGUUUUGUAUACGGAAACGAAAGUUGCGAAUGGCUGUACGAAUCGCCGUUGCCACGGUUUUUUUUUUCUUGUUUUUUUCUGCGGUUUUGUGUUAGUUUUUCAGAGAAAAUAAAUGGAACGAAGACAAUUCCUAGUUAAAUAAAGUUAGUGCAACAUUUUCAAGAAAAAAGGUGACAAAUGAUUUUUUAGAGUCCAGUCCAGAAACAGCAGUCGAAAGUUGCAAAUGACUAUACGAAUCGCCGUCGCCCCAGUUUUUUUGGUUCACUUUCUGUGAAAAGUUUCCUGGCCAUAUCAGCAAAAAGUCAACUACCAGACAGGUUCUGAUUAGCUCAAAAAGUGGAUGGGUAACAGAACACAGGAUAAUUAUUUUAACAUUGCUCAAUUGACACAGAUGCCGAUUUGUAUACUAGGAAUAAUCGAUCAAGAGCUACAGGAAAAUGUAUGAAAUCACGACUCUUCCUCCGGCAACUAUUUAUACAUGCUGUGAUUGAUGACUUUUUUGGACGAACUAGGCUGUUUCCAACCAUUUUGAAAUUAGCAACAAAAAAGGGGAUCAAGUAUAUAACAUAGCAACCGAUUCCUUCGGAUGUCUCAUGCAACCGCAAGCUAUCUUUGAACGCAAUCUCGUCGAAUUAAUAAAAUUAGGUUAUUGAACUGCUGCAUGCUACAAAGAAGAGUUUUAAGAGUUGAUUACGUGUUGAUUUAAUUUUAUUUUAUCAGAAAAAUGAUUGAACAAGUAUGCGAAACUAAUGUGAAUAAAUUUUAUUGAUUUU